rnacentral:ncRNA from 1 species
CAAGUCCCCUGGAAAGGGGCGCCGGAGAGGGUGAGAGCCCCGUCGUGCCCGGACCCUGUCGCACCAUGAGGUGCCGUCUACGAGUCGGGUUGUUUGGGAAUGCAGCCCUAAUCGGGCGGUAAAUUCCGUCCAAGGCUAAAUACGAGUGAGAGACCGAUAGCGAACAAGUACCGCGAGGGAAAGAUGAAAAGGACUUUGAAAAGAGAGUCAAAGAGUGCU